AUUGCAAAUGUCUCUUUGACAACUAGAUUCAAAGAACUCAAAGUGUUCAAAAAUAUAUUUGGGUUCUUACUUAGCUCAAAAGACAUGAAGUUAUUGGAUGAUGUUGAACUAUGCAAAUGUUGUGCUAAGUUCAUAGAAACAUUUUCAUGAAAUGGUUCAUGCGAUGUUGAGUUAGAUGAUCUUUUUUCUGAAUUAAGACUGCUGCAAAUGACUUUACCAGAAUCAGAUUUUCCAUUGCAUGCUAUGGAGAUUUUUGAGUUUGUUAGAGAUAUUGACUGUUUUCCAAAUGUUUUAAUUGCUUAUCGAAUUUUGUUCACUGUACCAAUGACCGUAGCAUCAGCAGAGCGUAGCUUUUCGAAGUUGAAAUUGUUAAAGAACUAUUUGAGGUCAACAAUGUCAUAAGAAAGAUUAAAUGGUCUUGCUACUUUAUGUAUUGAGAAAGAUAAGUUGGAUGAAAUAAAUGUUGAUGCAAUAAUUGAUGACUUUGCUUCUAGAAGUGUUAGACGAAUUUCUAAGUUCUAG
rnacentral:rRNA from 1 species